AUUGAACGCUGGCGGCAGGCCUAACACAUGCAAGUCGAGCGGAUGAAGGGAGCUUUCUCCUGGAUUCAGCGUCGGACGGGUGAGUAAUGCCUAGGAAUCUGCCUCGUAGUGGGGGAUAACGUCUGGAAACGGGCGCUAAUACUGCAUACGUCCUGAUGCAGAAAGUGGGGGAUCUUCGGACCUCACGCUAUCAGAUGAGCCUAGGUCGGAUUAGCUAGUUGGUGGGGUAAAGGCCUACCAAGGCGACGAUCCGUAACUGGUCUGAGCGGAUGAUCAGUCACACUGGAACUGGAACACGGUCCAGACUCCUACGGGAGGGAGCAGUGGGGAAUAUUGGGCAAUGGGCGAAAACCUGAUCCAGCGAUGCCGCGUGUGUGAAGAAGGUCUUCGGAUUGUAAAGCACUUUAAGUUGGGAGGAAGGGCAGUAAGUUAAUACCUUGCUGUUUUGACGUUACCAACAGAAUAAGCACCGGCUAACUACGUG
rnacentral:rRNA from 1 species